rnacentral:rRNA from 1 species
AUUGAACGCUGGCGGCAUGCCUUACACAUGCAAGUCGAACGGCAGCGCGGGAGCAAUCCUGGCGGCGAGUGGCGAACGGGUGAGUAAUACAUCGGAACGUGCCCAAUCGUGGGGGAUAACGCAGCGAAAGCUGUGCUAAUACCGCAUACGAUCUACGGAUGAAAGCAGGGGAUCGCAAGACCUUGCGCGAAUGGAGCGGCCGAUGGCAGAUUAGGUAGUUGGUGAGGUAAAGGCUCACCAAGCCUUCGAUCUGUAGCUGGUCCGAGAGGACGACCAGCCACACUGGGACUGAGACACGGCCCAGACUCCUACGGGAGGCAGCAGUGGGGAAUUUUAGACAAUGGGCGAAAGCCUGAUCCAGCCAUGCCGCGUGCAGGAUGAAGGCCUUCGGGUUGUAAACUGCUUUUGUACGGAACGAAACGGUCUUUUCUAAUAAAGAAGGCUAAUGACGGUACCGUAAGAAUAAGCACCGGCUAACUACGUG